GGCGGGGAGGAUGACACAGUUUAUCCAUCCCAAGCUUUUGAGGAGAGCCGAGGAGGUGCUGGGCAUGCUCUCCACGCCCAAGUCCACUCCGCAGUACCCCUACGACAAGAAGUUCAGUGAGGUGCCGCUCGAGGAGCGAGAGAAACUUAUGUACCAGUGGGCCAACAGCGACGACGACGAUUCCCGUCUCAACUUCAAGAUCUUCAAGACGUUCAUCCUCAACACCUUCUAUAGCAAGGUGCCGUGGUUUAGAAAGACGCUCUCUAUAUCAAGACAUUGUACCUCUUGGCUUGCAGGUGGAUGCUUCGGGCUACAACCCGACCUGGGAAGCCAUCGGCUACGCGGGACCGGAUCCAAACUCCAUGAAAGCAACGUUGCCUCCAAAGCCGUCAGCUCUCAAGUCCGCCGUCUUCGACGUCAGAGAGCACCCCGAC
rnacentral:lncRNA from 1 species